rnacentral:rRNA from 1 species
ACAAGUUAUUAAGAGCAACGGGCGGAUGCCUUGGCGCUGAAGGCGAUGAAAGACGUGAUAAGCUGCGAUAAGCCUCGGGGAGGAGCUAAAUAUCCUAUGAUCCGUGGAUCUCUGAAUGGGGCAACCCACUGGAAGCAGUUCCAGUACCUCAGUUGAGGAGCUGACCUGGGGAAGUGAAACAUCUCAGUACCCAGAGGAAAAGAAAUCAAACGAGACUCCCAAAGUAGCGGCGAGCGAAAUGGGAAGAGGCCAAACCGGACAGUUUCGACUAUCCGGGGUUGUAGGGCCGCCGUACGUGAUCUCGGAGUAGGCAGGAGAAGCUGGCUGGAAAGCCACACCACAGCGGGUGACAGUCCCGUAUCCGAAACCGAAAAGAGCGCAGGCGGUACCUGAGUACUGCGAGGCACGUGAAACCUCGUGGGAAUCCGGGAGGACCAUCUUCCAAGCCUAAGUACGAUCCAGCGACCGAUAGUGAACCAGUACCGUGAGGGAAAGGUGAAAAGAACCCCUGUCAGGGGAGUGAAAUAGAAUCUGAAACCUGUUGCUUACAAGCUGUGGGAGCAGUUUUAACGACUGUGACCAUGUGCCUUUUGCAUAAUGAGUCAGCGAGUUAAUCUGUUGUGCAAGGUUAAGCGAGAGCGGAGCCGAAGCGAAAGCGAGUCUGAAGAGGGCGUUUAGUACAGCGGAUUAGACCCGAAACCGGGUGAUCUAUCCAUGAGCAGGUUGAAGCAAGGGUAAAGCCUUGUGGAGGACCGAACCAAUACCGGCUGAAAACGAUUUGGAUGACUUGUGGAUAGGGGUGAAAGGCCAAUCAAACCCGGUGAUAGCUGGUUCUCCCCGAAAUAUAUUGAGGUAUAGCCUCAGGGAUUGUUUAUCGGAGGUAAAGCACUGACAAGGCUAGGGGUCCUACCAGAUUACCAAACCUUAUCAAACUCUGAAUGCCGAAUAAAUGUACCCUGGGAGUCAGACGGCGGGUGCUAAGGUCCGUCGUCAAAAGGGUAAGAGCCCAGAUCGACAGCUAAGGCCUCCAAUUCCAUACUCAGUGGUGAAGGUGGUGGAGUUGUUUAGACAGCCAGGACGUUGGCUUAGAAGCAGCCAUCGUUUAAAGAAAGCGUAAUAGCUCACUGGUCUAAUGAUUCUGCGCCGAAAAUGUAACGGGGCUAAGUAUGGAGCCGAAGCUUCGGAUUUGUCUUUAUGACAUCUGGUAGGGGAGCGUUCUCAACGGGCUGAAGCUGUGGUGAAAACCAUGGUGGACUGUUGAGAAGUGAUUAUGCUGACAUGAGUAACGAUAAAACAGGUGAAAAACCUGUUCGCCGAAAACCCAAGGUUUCCUGGGUAAAGUUAAUCUUCCCAGGGUUAGUCGGUCCCUAAGGAGAGGGCGAAAGCCGUAUCUGAUGGAAAACGGGUUAAUAUUCCCGUACUUGCAUGGAUGUGCGAUGGAGGGACGCAGCAAGAUAGGUGAUCCGGGUGUUGGAUAUCCCGGUGCAAGUGUGUAGGAGUGCGAAGCAGGCAAAUCCGUUUCGCUUAUCCGAGACACGAGUCCGAGCCGCAAGGCGGAAGUCAUUGAGUCUACACUGCCAAGAAAAGCUUCUAAGUUUAGUCCAUGUGAACCGUACUCGAAACCAACUCAGGUGGGUGGGAUGAAUAAUCCAAGGCGCUCGAGAGAUUCAUGGCUAAGGAACUCGGCAAAAUGACCCCGUAACUUCGGAAGAAGGGGUGCUCCUCUGUGUGAGUUUAUUUACUAUGCAAGCACGAGGGAGCCGCAGUGAAUUGGUGGUGGCGACUGUUUACUAAAAACAUAGGUCUGUGCGAAGUCGCAAGACGACGUAUACGGACUGACGCCUGCCCGGUGCCGGAAGGUUAAAAGGAGAGGUCAGCGCAAGCGAAGCCUUGAAUUGAAGCCCCGGUAAACGGCGGCCGUAACUAUAACGGUCCUAAGGUAGCGAAAUUCCUUGUCGGGUAAGUUCCGACCUGCACGAAUGGCGUAACGAUCUCCACACUGUCUCGGCCAGAGACUCGGUGAAAUUGAAGUCGCGGUGAAAAUGCCGUGUACCCGCAGAAAGACGGAAAGACCCUGUGCACCUUUACUAUAGCUUGACAUUGGAUUUUGGCCCUACAUGUGUAGGAUAGGUGGGAGCCUGUGAACCCUGUACGCCAGUAUGGGGGGAGGCACUGUUGAAAUACCACCCUUUGUAUG